GGGGAGGUCGCAUAGUCCGGUCGAGUGCAGGGGAUUGCUAAUCCCCCGAACCGGUAUCUUCCGGUUCCGCGGGUUCGAAUCCCGCCCUCCCCG
rnacentral:tRNA from 1 species